CAAGCCAUAUCUGUGAACUACACCACAGCUCACGGCAAUACCAGAUCCUUAACCCACUGAGUGAGGUCAGAGAUUGAACCCACAACCUCAUGGCUCCUAGUUGGAUUUGUUUCCACUGUGCCAAGAUAGGAACUCCAAGACUACUGAUCAUUGGGUUAGGUUAGCAAUACCUACUUAUCCCUCACCUUGGUCCAAGUACUACCUUAUGUGCAUCUACGAGUUAUCAUGUCCAAAUCUUGCAAUCAUCUUGAAUAAUAAUUAUUAUUCCCCUUUUAGAGAUUAAAAAUGUACUUACACUAAAACCAAAAUAAAACAAAUAACAACAGAAAACUUGCUAAGAAUAACACACCGGAAGAUCGCAACACUUGCCAUCUACCCUCCAAUUAAAGUUAUGACUGCUUAUUUUUAUCUCAAUUUUUGAUCUUCAGUCUCAAGUUAAGUAUUAGUGAGAACUUACUAGAGUUCUCUUGGUGUAGUGGCCUAAAGAUCUGGUGUUGUCACUGCAGUGGCUUGGGUCACUGCUGUGGCAUGGGUUUGAUUCCUGAUCCAGAACUUCCACAUGCCAUGUGCAUGGCCAAAAAGAAGAGAGGGAGGGAGGAAGAGAGAGAGGGAAUUUACUAUUGGCUAGGCCUGAGGUAAAAAAUAAGAAAAGUCAGGGGAGAAGGGAACUAAGAUACAGUGUCUACACUUCAUGCUUUAGAGAAGAUGGAGCAUAAAAAACAUACUCCCUGGGAUGUCUAUAGUGAACUUUAAGACAGAGUCCAAAGAAAUACUGAAGAAGUGUAUUGAUGAUGUGAGAGAAGAGUCUGUCCAGAGGAAAUGAUGCUUGAGCUGAGUCUUCAGAUUUAUGCACGUGUAGAAGAAAGGUAGGGAGGGACUAGAUGGUACAGUGGUGUUGACAUAAGGAAGUGCAGGUAGUUCAGCACGGCAGAAGCACAGAGCAGACAUCAGUGCGUGUGGCCCAGAGCUGAGGUCGGGUGUGACAGACAACAAGAGGGUGCAAGCUCCUGAGAAACUACUCUCAUGUCUAGCAACUAAUGGACCUCAAAUUGGACUUUACCCACAGGAAAUUUGCAACCAUUUUUCCCUACUUAGAUGUGAUAUGGAACUCAGUACUCUGGUUUUCAUUUCUUUUUAAUAUGCUUACAGUCAUUUUUACUGAAGAACAAAUGAUUUCAUGGGGCAGGACUUCUUAGGUGGAAAAGGAUUGGUGAGCUAAUCUGAUUUCAUCCACAAUUUUACAUGUUUUUUAAGGUGAUUUGAUCACUUUCUCCAGGGAUGAGUAGCCCUUGAGGGCCUAGAGGACCACCUCACACUAAAAAUAUUUAACUAUUGAACAAACAAAUUAAAUGACAGUUUAUUCACUUAUAACACAGGAAUGCCUCUCCAUUGGCCAGAAUACAAAAUCUGGACAUGCUGAGUAAGAGCAAUAUCAUUUAGUGAAGAACUACUCCAGGAGUUCCCAUCGUGGCUCAGUGGUUAACAAAUCUGACUAGGAACCAGUUGGGGGUUCGAUCCCUGCCCUUGCUCAGUGGGUUAAGGAUCCGGCUUUGCCGUGAGCUGUGGUGUAGGUCACAGACGCGGCUCAGAUCUGGCGUUGCUGUGGCUCUGGCAUAGGCCGGUGGCUACAGCUCCCAUUAGACCCCUAGCCUGGGAACCUCCAUAUGCCGCGGGAGCAGCCCUAGAAAGGGCAAAAAGACAAAAAAACAAAAAAAGAACUACCCCAUAUUGGCAGUGGAUACUUCCUUGUAUUAUUUCAAUUAGUUGUCACCACAACUCUGUAAUGUAGUUCUUACUUUACCCCAAUUUUAUAGAUAAGGAAUUCAAAUGAGAAACCUUAAAUGAUCUAUUUUGAUCUCAUAGGUAAUAAGAUUUGGAGCUAAGACUCAAAUCUAGUGCUUUGAUUUCUUUGCCAUGCAAUGGGCAGAGUAUACCCAUGCUAGCUGGGAAAAAAUUAUGGUGAUGGUGAUUUAAUUAAAAUAAUUAUAGUUUAUUAGAUGCUUACUUUGUACCAAAUACUUUCACAUGCAUUAUCUUCCAAGUUAGUCUUUUUUAAAAAUUAAAAAAAAAAAAGUUUAUGGCUGCACCUGAGCCUCAGCUGCAACCUCUGUGACAGUGCUGGAUCUUUUAACCCACUGGGCUGGGCCAGGGAUUGAAGCUGCACCUCCUGGUGACCUGAGCCUCUGCAGUCAGAUUCCUAACCCACUGUGCCACAGCAGGACCUCACAUGUGUUAUCAUAUGUAACUGUAACAAUUCUAUUUGAGAAUUCUAUUUUCUAAUUGAGAAAAGAUUUCUAUUUUAGCAAUGAGGAAACUGAUGUUCAGAAAGUUUAAAUAAUUUUUCCAGCCUGCAAAGCUGGUUAAUUGGUGGGGCAGAUAAUUCAAACCAGGUUUCUCUGACCACAAAGCGCUUUUUACAGCUAGUCAAAUAAUGAUAAGAAUACUUAAUGAAUGGAAGUCAAAAUGGAGAGAAUUUGUUAGUUGACAGAAUAUUCCAUUUAGAGUGUGGUAAAGGAUAGAAAACCACUGAAGUUUUCUCAGUAGGGUCUGAUCAUGUCUCUUCAUAGUUCAAUGCGAUGACAUUGAAUAUUUACUACUAUUAUUUUUAUUUUUACUAAUAAUUCUUAUUAGUCACAAAAAAUUUGUGUCGCUGUCUUUAUUCAUGAUAGAUAGUAUACAUUAGAACGUUCAGUUUAUGUUGUCUCACCUUUUUCUGAGGAUUAAUUUUAGGAAUAAAAAAGGACAUGAAGUGUCACAGAUCUGAGAAAAAAAUAUAAUUAUUUUUAGAUAAGAUACUUGAGCAAUCUUUCUUUACUAGUUGGUUGUGUAUCUGAUUAACUUCCAGGUCAGUGAAAUUAGAAUUUAGCCUGCAAAAUGGAUCUAUACAUCAUAGUUUUGCAAAUUUAAACUUGUAACAAUCUUGGAGCUGGAUCAAUAAACUUUAACAGAUGUUCCUCUCUGCACCUAGGCCAACUGUCUUAUCAAGACAGUGGUUUUGCUUUGUUUGUUUUGUUUUUAUAAAGAUUCUGUUUGUGGAAGCAAGAUUUGACCAGGCUUUCUUUGAAGUUAGUACCCUUGUGGCAAGUUUGAAAUAAACUUAGACCUUUGCUCAAAAAAAUCAAUGCAUCUGAAACUUUCCUUUAACAUUCCUUUGUCUCUUAAAUCUGGGCUCCUCGAGGAGAGGUUUGUUUCUUUUCACUGUAGCCCAGUCAUCUAGUAUGAGAUUGGGUACAAAUGAAGGGCUUUCUAGAUGUCAGUUGAAUAAAUGAAUAUUUGAAAGAAUUUACCAACUAUGGACUUUGUUUCACUUUCACCUUGUUUACUUCUUUGGAAAGAUACCCCCAGCGAGAUUUUUCAUCUUUUUAUUUUAUUCCUUUGCAAAAAAGGUUCUCUAGGGACCUCUUCACUGGAUCUCUCUCAGUCAUGUCCUUUCCUGCCUGGCUUGGAAUUUUUUUGGCUCUGGAUUUCCUCACCAGUCUGGGCUACACCCUCACUGCCCCCCUCCCCUCCUUAAGUCACAUCAUAUUUGAGGACAGAAUUUCCAAACCACCUUCUCCUAGGCAUGUUUUUCCCCCUUUAAACUUGAAAAAGAGGAGAAAAGUUAGGCAACUUAGACAAUAUUUCAAACAAAAGAGAAGUAGUGGAAGGUUGAGAAAAGGUCAGUACGGUUAGUUAGUGAGAAGAGUCUGACUCAUUAAAAAAAAACAAACCACAGUAACUGACAAAAAACCUAUCAGACAGAAAAUCAUGAGAAGGUUUUGAGUGGCUGGCUAAGGCAAUACCAAAGCUCUAAGUGUUGAGAAUGGGAAGUUAAUCAGAAAAGACUACUUAGGAGGUGGAGAAAUUUUCAUGGCUCCCAGAGGGAGGUCUGUGCCUGGCUUUGCCCUGGCUGGCUAUGUGACUUUUCUGUGCAAAUGACCCUCAUUUUCUAAAUAAGGAUAUUGGACCAAAUGAUGUAUAAGAUCUUUUCCAAUUCUAACAUUUUAUGGAGGACUAGACUUUUCUAACAGAUUAAAUGGAUUCUUAUGUUUUAAGUCUCAUAUUUAUAUUUAGUCUCAUAUAAUUUGAUUCCUUUUUAUAAUUUCUUCAUUAUUUAAUCCACAGUUAUUGAGUGGCUGCCUACUAUUUGAACAGCAUUUUAGGCAGCAAGCUGGGUGAGAUAAAAAUCACUGCCGUCUACCACCUUAUAGGUUUGGGUGGCCGUAGCUUUACAAACAGCAAAAAGGCAAUUGGAGCAGAAGCAAUGGCUGAGGGAGGCGGGGAGGGAGGAAUGGAGGUGACAUGAAAAGGACAAGGGCAAGAGAACACAUUUUAUAAUUUCCUAAAAUACAGAUAAGGCUGCCACUUAAAAAAAACAAACAGUAAAAUUGGUUAUGAUUUUUACAUUUAAUCCUUUGUUUUCUGAGGAUGCUUAGUGCUGACCGUGUGAUUGUGGCUACUCAGAGGUUUAAUGCGGGAUUCACUGGACUUUCCACACCACCUAUAAAGAGGGUGGUUGAUUUUUAGUUUUAUUGGUGUGUCACUACCUAGCCUGGUCUAUAGAUUUGUGUUAACUGUGCAAUAGCUGCUUGUAGAUCUUAGCGGUUGCUCAGUGAUUCCUCAUAAAGCUUGAUGCUGACAUGAAAAUUCAAAUUACAGAUGGCAAUCCAGAGAAUAAAAGAGCCUAGAAAUGGCUGGGGGCCUGCAAGUGGGCAUAAAUGUGUGAAGCAGUGGACACAUCACACCAGCUAGUGGUUUGGUUAGCAUUUAUUUGAAAUCUCUAGGAGUUCCCAUUGUGGCUCAGCAGGUUACAAACCCGACUAGUACCCACAAGGAUGUGGGUUUGAUCCCUGGCCUCCCUCAGUGGGUUAAGGAUCCUCUGUUGCUGUGAGCUGUGGUGUAUGUUGCAGAUUUAGCUUAGAUCCCAUGUUGCUGUGGUUGUAGCAGAGGCCAGUAGCUGCAGGUCUGAUUCAACCCCUAGCCUGGGAAUUUACAUAUGCCAU
rnacentral:lncRNA from 1 species